ARCGAUAGAAUACAGCAUGGAUUGUUUUGCUGUGUGUCGAGUGGUACUUSUGUGUURCAGCGAAUCCCAUUCAAGUGAAGAAAAUAUGCAACAUGGCUCUGUAUUAGUGUCAAAGCUCCUGAAUGAUGUGAACGCGAUUGUUGCCGUGUCGAAUCGUACUCGAUGAGAAUGAGAUGGAUUUGAUCGGGGACCUGCUGUGAACAAUCGACUGCUCCGACAUCAUUUGCAU
rnacentral:rRNA from 1 species